rnacentral:rRNA from 1 species
AGUGAACGCUGGCGGUAGGCCUAACACAUGCAAGUCGAACGGCAGCACAGUAAGAGCUUGCUCUUACGGGUGGCGAGUGGCGGACGGGUGAGGAAUACAUCGGAAUCUACUUUUUCGUGGGGGAUAACGUAGGGAAACUUACGCUAAUACCGCAUACGACCUACGGGUGAAAGCAGGGGAUCUUCGGACCUUGCGCGAUUGAAUGAGCCGAUGUCGGAUUAGCUCGUUGGCGGGGUAAAGGCCCACCAAGGCGACGAUCCGUAGCUGGUCUGAGAGGAUGAUCAGCCACACUGGAACUGAGACACGGUCCAGACUCCUACGGGAGGCAGCAGUGGGGAAUAUUGGACAAUGGGCGCAAGCCUGAUACAGCAAUACCGCGUGGGUGAAGAAGGCCUUCGGGUUGUAAAGCCCUUUUGUUGGGAAAGAAAAGCAGCAGGUUAAUACCCCGCUGUUCUGACGGUACCCAAAGAAUAAGCACCGGCUAACUUCGUG